UACGUAGGGGGCAAGCGUUGUCCGGAUUUAUUGGGCGUAAAGAGCGUGUAGGCGGCCAUGCAGGUCCGUUGUGAAAACUCGAGGCUCAACCUCGAGACGCCGAUGGAAACCGCAUGGCUAGAGUCCGGAAGAGGAGAGUGGAAUUCCUGGUGUAGCGGUGGAAUGCGCAGAUAUCAGGAGGAACACCAAUAGCGAAGGCAGCUCGCUGGGACGGUACUGACGCUAAGGCGCGAAAGCGUGGGGAGCGAACAGG
rnacentral:rRNA from 1 species